GCUGGUUUACAAAAAAUAAAGACACAAUGUGCUGGAGUAACUCGGCGGGUUGGGCAGCAUCUCUGGAGAACAUGGAUAGGUGACGUUUCGGAUCGGGACCUUUCUUCAGUCGGAUUGUAGUUAGGGGU